UACGUAGGGCGCAGGCGUUAAUCGGAAUUACUGGGCGUAAAGCGUGCGCAGGCGGUUUCUUAAGUCAGAUGUGAAAGCCCCGGGCUUAACCUGGGAACUGCGUUUGGAACUGGGAGACUUGAGUGUGGCAGAGGGGGGUGGAAUUCCACGUGUAGCAGUGAAAUGCGUAGAUAUGUGGAGGAACACCGAUGGCGAAGGCAGCCCCCUGGGUUAACACUGACGCUCAUGCACGAAAGCGUGGGGAGCAAACAGG
rnacentral:rRNA from 1 species